rnacentral:rRNA from 1 species
AUUGAACGCUGGCGGCAGGCUUAACACAUGCAAGUCGAGCGAGUGGCGGACGGGUGAGUAAUGUCUGGGAAACUGCCUGAUGGAGGGGGAUAACUACUGGAAACGGUAGCUAAUACCGCAUACCAUCGGAUGUGCCCAGAUGGGAUUAGCUAGUAGGUGGGGUAAAGGCUCACCUAGGCGACGAUCCCUAGCUGGUCUGAGAGGAUGACAGGCCACACUGGAACUGAGACACGGUCCAGACUCCUAGGGGAGGCAGGAGGGGGGAAUUUGGCAAAAUGGGCGAAAGCUUGAUGCAGCCAUGCCGCGUGUAUGAGGAGGGCCUUCGGGUUGUAAAGUACUUUCAGCGGGGAGGCGUUACCCGCAGAAGAAGCACCGGCUAACUCCGUGCCAGCAGCCGCGGUAAUAC